rnacentral:lncRNA from 13 species
UUACUUUUACUCCACAAUAUUCCUGAAGAAAAUAAUGUACUUUUUUACUAUUUACGUUUCCCCUGACACACAAAAAGUACUCGUUACAUUUAGAAUGCUCAAUCGGGGCAGAAUUAUGGCACCUGUCAAUAUAACACUUUGUCGUCCCUACUGCCUCUGAUCUGGCAGAUUCACGAAACACAACUGCUGUGUUUGUGUCACGACUUCCGCCGAAAGUCGGUCCCUCGCCGUGUUUCGGGCGGCGUUCGGUGGUCGACGUCACCGGCCUUCUAGCCAUCGCCGAUCCACUUUUCCAUUUGUCUUUGUCUUACACACCUGGUUUCAAUCCCCUAAAGACUUGUUCAUUAUUUAACCCUCUGUUCCCCCACGUUUGUUUGUGAGUGAUUGUUUUUAUGUAAUACGGCCCGUUUAUGUGGGCUCGCUUAUUUUGUAUCGUAUUUAUCUAUUUUGAGCAAAACACGUUUAUUUACUCAUAUCUGUUGUUCCUGCGCCUGACUCCUCUACACCAGUGUCACGAAUAUCACCGAAGGUGGCUCCCCUUCCCGUUCGGGUGGCGCUCGGCGGUCGUCGUCGCCGGUCUACUAGCUGCUACCGAUCCCUUUUCCCCCUUUCCGUUUUGUUUAGUCUAAUUGGUUACACCUGUUCCUUGUUGGGGUUUUGGGGUUGGGAUUAUUUAAAUUCGAUUCGUGCGGGCUUGUUUGCUGUUUUGUCAAGGAGUGUCCCUGUUUUUUUUUGUUGGGAUUGCCGCUGUACAGCGUAUGUACAUUGUUGGAGUGUUUUACGCCUGUGUUUCGGCAUCACCCGUUUGUGCGCUGUUACUGUACGGAGAAUAAAGCGUUUCCCGAAUCCUCUGCUCUCUGCGCCUGACUCCGUUUCCCGAAUCCUCUGCUCUCUGCGCCUGACUCCACACCCAUCACUCUUCCAGCGUUACAACCAGCUACACACAAGACUACAUUACAGUUUGUAAAUGAUGUCUGAGUGUUGGAGUGUGCCCCUUUCU